rnacentral:ncRNA from 2 species
AAGAACCGCUGGGGGUGCUCCGGGCUGAGACCCCGAUGAAAAUCGGGGGACCCUUGGAACCUGAACUCGGUAAUACGAGCGGAGGGAAGCGGACCUUACUGUAA